GCCAAAUUGUAUUACGACGUUUGCGUCUACCUUAGGAAAUCCCUUUCUAUUUGUAUUUCGCGCUUCGUGUCACGUGAUUCAGACACAAACAAACAAAAUGGCGGAGGCUUCAAAAUCUACAAUGAGCGAACCAGCAAAAACAGAGGGAGAGAUGAGAAGAAGUAAACGCGUGAGACAGCCAUCUAAGAGAAUGUUGUUGUAUUUUCAGGACACAGAUUCAGAUUCAAGUCUACAGAAGGGUAAAGGAAAACAUCCUGCCAGAAAGUUGAUACAUUAGCAACAACAACUAAGGGGACACUGGAACACCAUAGCACGUCUGACAAUGAACCUGUACUGGCUUUUGUUCCUUCAAGUUAUGAUGAGUCUGAAGGAGAACCACUCAGUGAGAGAGAGGAUGAUUUAAGAACCAAAUGAAAGGGAAGGAAAAGAGGAAGUAAGAAAGUGAAAGGGCGCUGUUAUGUCCAUGAAGAACAAGAAAAAAAAAUCUAAGGGAAUAAUUGAAAGUCUUACAGUCACCGAAAGGAAAGAAUAUAGAUAUUGCUAGAAUUUUAUCAAAAAGGAAAGAGAAAAAGGAACAAGACCUGUGUCCAGUCCGGAGUGGUGCUCUUGUCACAGAUGCCCACAAUACGAGAGAGUGGAAGAUCGAGUUUGCUGUGGGAUGGUCCCAGAAUUAUGCUCAAGUCAAAGACCUGAGAUGACUCUAUCGGUGCUGGAUAGGAUGACCCUCUACAGUCAGCAGCAGUAUCGACAAGAUGUGUUUUCCUUUUAUGCAGAGACACUAGAAGAU